AUGAUUAACAUCGCCACAAUAGUGGCUAAACAAGUGUCUUUAAUGUGUUAUUUUAAAAAAGCAAGAGUGGGGGGAGAAGACUCGCCACUGCCUCCAUCUACCGAGUCCACCCAGCCCAGUUCUUCGGACUCAUUUGCCCACAAGAAGCCUAGUCAGGUGCCCGUGGCGGCCGCUGCUUGCUCCGUGGCAGUGCCGGUGCUCUCUCCCGGUCAGCCUGACGCGGGUUUACCCGCCGAUCUAACCGCAAUUGAUGAACCACCUUCACAACCCAAUUUGAAGGUAUUUCCCUGCGCUGUCAAGAAUGGAAAAUCAAGGAGCUUCGCAUCAAAGUGGUAUGGACAGUUUCCUUGGUUGGAGUACAGUGUAAUCAAGGACACGAUUUUCUGUAAAAUGUGCAGACAUUUUCCAAGCGCAGCUGACAGCCCAUUUGCGACAGAGGGACAGAGCGACUGGAGCUCCAAAUCCGGAGCAGUGAGCAAAGUACUGACGUUACUCGACGUAAUAUUAGAAGUGCUUGCUGAAUAUGCUGAAAGCAGUGGCCACUCGAAGGUUGAGGCGCAGUCACUGUUGCAACAAAUACAAACAAAAAAGUUCUUCUUUUUACUCGUCACAUUUGGAAAGUUAUUUCAGACGAGCGAUUUUGCCACACGGGGUUUACAAAGCCCAACAUUGUCAGUUUCUGAGUGCAUCGAUCUUAUUGAGGGACUAAAAGAGAGCUUUACUCGGUUUAGAGACAAUUCAGGGUGUGAUUUUGAGCAAGCAAUGAAGCUAACAGAAGAGUUGAUGCGGAAAAAUGAAAUCACAAGCUGGGACAUCCCAGCUGGGACCAGAGUGAGAAAGCUCCCUGCGAGGCUUGCAGGAUCAGUGGUCACAACUAGUUUGGGGAAAGCAACAAGUGUGAGAAAUGAUGAUGACUUAAGACACAUAUGGAACGACAUCCUUGACAGACAGCUGGCAGAGCUGGACAAUCGUUUCCAAGAGGAUCAGUAUGGAAUAAUGAGGGCAGCAGCAACUUUUCUCCCACAGUCUUAA
ensembl:lncRNA